rnacentral:rRNA from 1 species
UGGUGGUGUGAAUUGUCUGGUUGAUUCCGUUAACGAACGAGACCUUGACUUACUAAAUAGUUACUGGAAGAUAUUGCGUCAAGGCUGUGGGUCGGUAUUUUCGGAAGGAUCCGUUCCCCGUGAAUAGUUGAGCCCGCAGUUGCUUUUUUCUUCG